rnacentral:ncRNA from 1 species
UAUAAAUAAAUUUUAUGAUUUAAAAAGUUUAAUUUGAAUUUAUUUUACAUAUAAAUUUUAGUAUAUAUUUUUAAUUUAUUUUAAGAAUUUUUGAAAAUUAAUUUAAUAGUAAUUAAUAUUAAAAAUUUAAGAAAUUAAGAUUUAGUAAUAUUUAAUGAUUAUUAACAAAUUUUGUGCCAGCAGUUGCGGUUAAACAAAAAAUAAUUUAAAUUUUAUUAGUAAAUAAUAAAUAUUGAUAUUUUAAAAUUAAAUAUUAAAUUAUUAGGUGAAAUUUUAAUUUAAUUAAAAUUUUAAUUAAUAAUUAUGAUUUAUAAAAUUUUAUUAAAAACUAGAAUUAGAUACUCUAUUAUUAAAAUUUAAUAAAUACUAAAAUAGUAUAUAAUUAUUUAUUGAAACUUAAAUAAUUUGGCGGUAUUUUAGUUAAUUUAGAGGAAUCUGUCUAAUAAUUGAUAAUCCACGAAUAAAUUUACUUAAUUAAUUAUUUUGUAUAUCGUUGUUAAAAAAAUAUUUUUAAAUAAAAAUAAUAUUUUAAUUUUAAAAUAAAAAAUUAGAUCAGAUCAAGAUGCAGAUUAUAAUUAAGAAUAUGAUGGAUUACAAUAAUAUAAAAAAAAAUUAAAUGGAUAAUAUUUUUUAAAAAAUAUUUUAAGGUGGAUUUAAAUGUAAUUUUAUUUAAUUUAAUAAAAUGAUUUUAAAUUAAAAUAUGUACAUAUUGCCCGUCGCUUUCAUAUAUAAAUUGAAAUAAGUCGUAACAAAGUAGAAGUACUGGAAAGUGUUUCUAGAAAGAA